rnacentral:rRNA from 1 species
AGAGGAAGUAAAAGUCGUAACAAGGUUUCCUAGGUGAACCUGCGGAAGGAUCAUUACCGAGAGAGGGGCUUCGUGCUCCCGGGGGUUUCGGCCCCUAACUCUUCACCCUUUGCGUACCUACCUUUGUUGCUUUGGCGGGCCCGAGAGUCCUCUCGCGCCGACCCUUCGGCCGGCGAGUGUCCGUCAGAGGCCCAUUUAAUUCUAUUCAUUAGACGUCUGAGUUCCAAUACAAUAAGUAAAAACUUUCAACAACGGAUCUCUUGGUUCCAGCAUCGAUGAAGAACGCAGCGAAAUGCGAUAAGUAAUGUGAAUUGCAGAAUUCAGUGAAUCAUCGAAUCUUUGAACGCACAUUGCGCCCCUCGGCAUUCCGGGGGGCAUGCCUGUUCGAGCGUCAUUGCACCCCUCAAGCGCAGCUUGGUAUUGGGCCCUCGCCCCCGCGGCGUGCCCGAAAAACAGUGGCGGUCCGGUGUGACUUUAAGCGUAGUAAUAUCUUCCCGCUCUAGAGUACUCGCCGUGGCCGGCCAAAGAACCCCAUUUACUUUUAUAAUUGACCUCGGAUCAGGUAGGGAUACCCGCUGAACUUAAGCAUAUCAAUAAGGCGGAGG